rnacentral:rRNA from 1 species
GAUGAACGCUGGCGGCGUGCCUAAUACAUGCAAGUCGAGCGAAUGGAUUAAGAGCUUGCUCUUAUGAAGUUAGCGGCGGACGGGUGAGUAACACGUGGGUAACCUGCCCAUAAGACUAGGAUAACUCCGGGAAACCGGGGCUAAUACCGGAUAACAUUUUGAACCGCAUGGUUCGAAAUUGAAAGGCGGCUUCGGCUGUCGCUUAUGGAUGGACCCGCGUCGCAUUAGCUAGUUGGUGAGGUAACGGCUCACCAAGGCAACGAUGCGUAGCCGACCUGAGAGGGUGAUCGGCCACACUGGGACUGAGACACGGCCCAGACUCCUACGGGAGGCAGCAGUAGGGAAUCUUCCGCAAUGGACGAAAGUCUGACGGAGCAACGCCGCGUGAGUGAUGAAGGCUUUCGGGUCGUAAAACUCUGUUGUUAGGGAAGAACAAGUGCUAGUUGAAUAAGCUGCACCUUGACGGUACCUAACCAGAAAGCCACGGCUAACUACGUGCCAGCCGCCGCCGUAA